rnacentral:rRNA from 1 species
AUUGAACGCUGGCGGCAUGCCUUACACAUGCAAGUCGAACGGCAGCACGGGUGCUUGCACCUGGUGGCGAGUGGCGAACGGGUGAGUAAUACAUCGGAACGUACCUUAUCGUGGGGGAUAACGCAGCGAAAGCUGUGCUAAUACCGCAUACGCCCUGAGGGGGAAAGCGGGGGAUCGCAAGACCUCGCGCGAUUAGAGCGGCCGAUGCCUGAUUAGCUAGUUGGUGGGGUAAAAGCCCACCAAGGCGACGAUCAGUAGCUGGUCUGAGAGGACCGUCAGCUACACGUGGACUAAGACACGGCCCAGACUCCUACGGGAGGCAGCAGUGGGGAAUUUUGGACAAUGGGGGCAACCCUGAUCCUGCAAUGCCGCGUGAGUGAAGAAGGCCUUCGGGUUGUAAAGCUCUUUUGUCAGGGAAGAAACACCGGCUCUAACACAGUCCGGGAAUGACGGUACCUGAAGAAUAAGCACCGGCUAACUACGUGCCAGCCGCCGCCGUAA